rnacentral:rRNA from 1 species
GACGAACGCUGGCGGCGUGCUUAACACAUGCAAGUCGAACGGAAAGGCCCUGCUUUUGUGGGGUUCUCGAGUGGCGAACGGGUGAGUAACACGUGAGUAACCUGCUCUUGACUUUGGGAUAACUUCAGGUAACUGGAGCUACUACCGGAUAGCAUCUCCUGCUCCAUUGUGGGCGUUGGAAAUUUUCGGCGGUUGGGGAUGGACUCGCGGCUGAUCAGCUUGUUGGUGGGGUAGUGGCUUACCAAGGCUUUGACGGGUAGCCGGCCUGAGAGGGUGACCGGCCACAUUGGGACUGAGAUACGGCGCAGACUCCUACGGGAGGCAGCAGUGGGGAAUAUUGCACAAUGGGCGGAAGCCUGAUGCAGAAACGCCGCGUGCGGGAUGACGGCCUUCGGGUUGUAAAACGCUUUCGCCUGUGACGAAGCGUGAGUGACGGUAAUGGGUAAAGAAGCACCGGCUAACUACGUG